rnacentral:rRNA from 1 species
ACAAACCGGAGGAAGUGGGGAUGACGUCAAGUCCUCAUGGCCCUUAUGGUAGGGCUUCGCACGUCAUACAAUGGUACAUACAGAGGGCUGCUAAAUCGUGAGAUGGAGCCAAUCCCAGAAAGUGUAUCGUAGUCCGGAUUGAAGUCUGCAACUCGACUUCAUGAAGUUGGAAUCGCUAGUAAUCGCGGAUCAGCAUGUCGCGGUGAAUACGUUCCCGGGUCUU